AUUGAACGCUGGCGGCAUGCCUUACACAUGCAAGUCGAACGGUAACAGGUCUUCGGAUGCUGACGAGUGGCGAACGGGUGAGUAAUACAUCGGAACGUGCCUAGUAGUGGGGGAUAACUACUCGAAAGAGUGGCUAAUACCGCAUGAGAUCUACGGAUGAAAGCAGGGGAUCGCAAGACCUUGUGCUACUAGAGCGGCCGAUGGCAGAUUAGGUAGUUGGUGGGAUAAAAGCUUACCAAGCCGACGAUCGGUAGCUGGUCUGAGAGGACGAUCAGCCACACUGGGACUGAGACACGGCCCAGACUCCUACGGGAGGCAGCAGUGGGGAAUUUUGGACAAUGGGCGAAAGCCUGAUCCAGCAAUGCCGCGUGCAGGAUGAAGGCCUUCGGGUUGUAAACUGCUUUUGUACGGAGCGAAAAGCCCCGGGUUAAUACCCUGGGGUCAUGACGGUACCGUAAGAAUAAGCACCGGCUAACUACGUGCCAGCAGCCGCAGUAA
rnacentral:rRNA from 1 species